rnacentral:rRNA from 1 species
AGGGCGGAAACCCUCUAACACUUAGCACUCAUCGUUUACGGCGUGGACUACCAGGGUAUCUAAUCCUGUUCGCUCCCCACGCUUUCGCGCCUCAGCGUCAGUUACAGRCCARAGAGUCGCCUUCGCCACUGGUGUUCCUCCACAUCUCUACGCAUUUCACCGCUACACGUGGAAUUCCACUCUCCUCUUCURCACUCAAGUUUCCCAGUUUCCAAUGACCCUCCCCGGUUGAGCCGGGGGCUUUCACAUCAGACUUAAGAAACCGCCUGCGCGCGCUUUACGCCCAAUAAUUCCGGACAACGCUUGCCACCUACGUAUUACCGCGGCUGCUGGCACGUAGUUAGCCGUGGCUUUCUGGUUAGGUACCGUCAAGGUGCGRSCAGUUACUCUCGCACUUGUUCUUCCCUAACAACAGAGUUUUACGAUCCGAAGACCUUCAUCACUCACGCGGCGUUGCUCCGUCAGACUUUCGUCCAUUGCGGAAGAUUCCCUACUGCUGCCUCCCGUAGAAGUCUGGGCCGUGUCUCAGUCCCAGUGUGGCCGAUCACCCUCUCAGGUCGGCUACGCAUCGUUGCCUUGGUGAGCCAUUACCUCACCAACUAGCUAAUGCGCCGCGGGCCCAUC